GCGCCGGCGGCUCCACCCUCCUCCGCCCGCCCCGCGCGCCCCUCCUUCCUCCUGCAUCUCUCGGGCCACCUGGCAGUGGGGCGGCAGCGCGGACGUGGGUCGGCGGCCGCGGAGACAGGCUCCCGGGGGUCGUGCGCGGGCUGCGGUCGGGGACUCCGGGUCCAGCCGCGUUCCGAGACGAGUGAGGGCAGCGAGUACUCCCGUGAAGGGUCCCCUCCGAUCCAGUGUCCCCACUCCCAGCCGCCCACCAGCCGGCUGGAAAGGGGCUGGAGCUGGAGAUGAGGAGCCGAGGACUCCUCCGAAGGGCUGGGGGCGGUGUCAGUAGUGCCUGUGUCUGCCGGCACAGUCCCUGGCGCAGAGCGCACCUUCACUAACCGGCUUUUUUGUCCUCCUUGGAACCCCUGCCCUGGAUGGGCUCUCCACUAGGGCUUCUGGUUGGCCUCGCUCCCUUCACCUAGCCCCUGGUGAAGGGAGCUCAGCGGGGACUCCUGCAAGAAGAGGGCUUGCCGCCCCCUUCCCCAUCCUCCCCAGCCUUGGGUGGCCCUGGCACCACGGCUCAGGGAGUCCCUGGCCCAGGUAGGAAGAAAAGGCCAAGAGAAGAAUGAGCGAAGUCUCCCUGCUGGAGCCAGGGAAGGCUGGAGCCUGCCCCCUCUGGCCAGCAGCCCUAGGCCUCAGACAGGCCCUGAGCCUCAAGACCCUGGUAUGUGGACUGAUGGGAGGGCAGGCUGGGUGCAGGGACUCUGAAUUUACUCACCGCCUGCCUUCUUCCAGGUAAACUGGCUUUUUAAAUGUGGGGCCUCCCCACUGCCUGGAGGCAAAGCCCUCUUCUACCUGCCUGCCUGCCUUGGCCAGACAGCCUGGCCCUAAUGGGACACAGAGAACUUGGGGCUCCUUGGAAGACUGAUACUGUUUCUGGAGUCUCUGCUUUCUCUGCCCUACCCUGCCUCUGGUGUCUCUAGCAGGAGACCCCACAAAGCACCAGCCCUCCCAGGUCUGCCGGCUCCAGCCCGUAGGAUUGGCUUAAACAAUGUGUGAGAGCCAUGGAGCACCAUCUAAUAAAAAUCACAACAAGCCACACAAGUUUGUAGAGGAGAAACAUGAAAGUCCUCGUUCACGCAGCCUCAGCCCUCCCAAGAGAUGACGUCUCGUUGUGUUUCCCAGAGAGAGUGCAGUGGUGCAAUCACACCUCCCUGCAGCCUGGAUCUCCUACGCUCAAGUGAUCCUCCCACCUUGGCCUCCAAAGUAGCUGGGACUACAGGUGUUCCUACCAUGCCUGGCCAAUUUUUUUUUAUUGUGUAGAGACUGGAGUCUCGCUAUGUUGCCCAGGCUUGUCUUGAACUCUGGGUGAUCCGCCUACCUCGGCCUCUCAAAGUGCUGGGAUUACAAGUGUGGGCCACUGUGCCCAGCCCUUACUGAUUUAU
rnacentral:lncRNA from 1 species